rnacentral:rRNA from 1 species
UACGUAGGGUGCAAGCGUUGUCCGGAAUUAUUGGGCGUAAAGAGUUCGUAGGCGGUCUGUCGCGUCUGCUGUGAAAACUCAGGGCUUAACCCUGAGCUUGCAGUGGGUACGGGCAGACUAGAGUGCGGUAGGGGAGACUGGAAUUCCUGGUGUAGCGGUGAAAUGCGCAGAUAUCAGGAGGAACACCGGUGGCGAAGGCGGGUCUCUGGGCCGUAACUGACGCUGAGGAGCGAAAGCGUGGGGAGCAAACAGG